rnacentral:pre_miRNA from 1 species
GGCAAUGGCACAGCUCUCUUAACUUUGCCCUGGCUAGUUUUUUCUCCUAAUCUGUCAAACAAACUUGACUGAUUAGGAGAAAAAACUAGCCAGGGCAAAGUUAAGAGAGCUGUGCCAUUGCC